rnacentral:rRNA from 1 species
AGAGUUUGAUCCUGGCUCAGGAUGAACGCUAGCGACAGGCUUAACACAUGCAAGUCGAGGGGCAGCGGGGAGGUAGCAAUACUUCCGCCGGCGACCGGCGCACGGGUGAGUAACACGUAUGGAACCUGCCCGUAGCAGGGGGGAUAAACGGAAGAAAUUCCGUCUAAUACCGCGUAAUAACUCCGAGAGGCAUCUCAUGGAGUUUAAAGGGUAACACCGGCUACGGAUGGCCAUGCGGCGCAUUAGCUAGUUGGCGGGGUAACGGCCCACCAAGGCGACGAUGCGUAGGGGUUCUGAGAGGAAGGUCCCCCACACUGGUACUGAGACACGGACCAGACUCCUACGGGAGGCAGCAGUGAGGAAUAUUGGUCAAUGGGCGCGAGCCUGAACCAGCCAAGUCGCGUGAGGGAAGACGGUCUUAUGGAUUGUAAACCUCUUUUGUCGGGGAGCAAAAGACGCCACGUGUGGCGUUCCGAGAGUACCCGAAGAAAAAGCAUCGACUAACUCCGUGCCAGCAGCCGCGGUAAUACGGAGGAUGCGAGCGUUAUCCGGAUUUAUUGGGUUUAAAGGGUGCGCAGGCGGAAGAUCAAGUCAGCGGUAAAAUUGAGAGGCUCAACCUCUUCGAGCCGUUGAAACUGGUUUUCUUGAGUGAGCGAGAAGUAUGCGGAAUGCGUGGUGUAGCGGUGAAAUGCAUAGAUAUCACGCAGAACUCCGAUUGCGAAGGCAGCAUACCGGCGCUCAACUGACGCUCAUGCACGAAAGUGUGGGUAUCGAACAGGAUUAGAUACCCUGGUAGUCCACACAGUAAACGAUGAAUACUAAUUGUUCGGGGAGAAUGAUCCCUGAGUGAUACAGCGAAAGCGUUAAGUAUUCCACCUGGGGAGUACGCCGGCAACGGUGAAACUCAAAGGAAUUGACGGGGGCCCGCACAAGCGGAGGAACAUGUGGUUUAAUUCGAUGAUACGCGAGGAACCUUACCCGGGCUCAAACGACACAGGAAUACUUUUGAAAGGAGGUAGCUCUACGGAGUCUGUGUCGAGGUGCUGCAUGGUUGUCGUCAGCUCGUGCCGUGAGGUGUCGGCUUAAGUGCCAUAACGAGCGCAACCCCCAUCGCCAGUUACCAGUAAGUCAAGUUGGGGACUCUGGCGAGACUGCCGGCGCGAGCUGUGAGGAAGGCGGGGAUGACGUCAAAUCAGCACGGCCCUUACGUCCGGGGCGACACACGUGUUACAAUGGCAGGUACAGAGAGAAGCAAUGCGGCGACGCAAAGCGGAACUUGAAAGCCUGUCUCAGUUCGGAUUGGAGUCUGCAACUCGACUCCAUGAAGCUGGAUUCGCUAGUAAUCGCGCAUCAGCCAUGGCGCGGUGAAUACGUUCCCGGGCCUUGUACACACCGCCCGUCAAG